GACGAACGCUGGCGGCGUGCUUAACACAUGCAAGUCGAGCGGUAAGGCCCUUUCGGGGAUACACGAGCGGCGAACGGGUGAGUAACACGUGGGUGACCUGCCCUCAGCUCUGGGAUAAGCCUGGGAAACCGGGUCUAAUACUGGAUAUGACUCCAUGACGCAUGUUGUGGGGUGGAAAGCCUUGUGCGGCUGAGGAUGGGCCCGCGGCCUAUCAGCUUGUUGGUGGGGUGAUGGCCUACCAAGGCGACGACGGGUAGCCGGCCUGAGAGGGCGACCGGCCACACUGGGACUGAGACACGGCCCAGACUCCUACGGGAGGCAGCAGUGGGGAAUCUUGCGCAAUGGGCGAAAGCCUGACGCAGCGACGCCGCGUGAGGGAUGACGGCCUCGGUUGUAACGUACUU
rnacentral:rRNA from 1 species